AUAUACAGUCUUUGGAUUAUUUUAUUCUUUGUUUGAAAAGGAUUUCAGGGGUGUAAUCUGAUCCUUUGUAAUUACUUCAUGAUUACAAAUAUUUGCUUUCUGCUGUGUAGGGUCUGCCAAUUUCCAUGUAUGGAGGUACCCUAAUACCCUCACAUCCUCAGCUUGCUGAUGGUCCAGGUGGACCUUUGUUUAAUGGACUUCAUAACCCAGAUCCUGCUUGGAACCCUAUGAUAAAAGUUGUCCAAAACUCAACAGAAUGUACUGAUGCUCAGCAGAUUUGGCCUGGCACAUGGGCGCCUCAUAUUGGAAACAUGCAUCUCAAAUAUGUCAACUAAAUUAGAAGGUCUUUUCUCUUUAGCCUUGUUUGGGAAACCUAUGACCUUGGAAGAACCCUGGGGAAUUUUUUUUAUGUGCCUAACUAAGCAAUUUUCUGUGUGGGCUUUAACAAUGGAAACUUGAUUGCCCAUUGUGUAAGAACAAAUUGAUUUUCCUAUCCAACUGAUUCUGUUCUCCAGUUAGUUUAGCCAUUUUGAACUUAAAAUCAGAUGAACCUAGUGCUUUUGGCUAAACAGUACUGAAUGCUACUUGUCUGCAGAAGAGAACUAGAUGAUUACAUGAUUUCAACCUUUUAGGGUGGUAAAUACAUGUAUAAUUGUUUACAUACUUAAAAGGAAAAAAAGUUGAGUAAAUUUCAUGUCGUAUAGUGGCUCUACUUUAUGUAGCCUGUAUUAAUGUGAAAUAUUUACCUGAAUAUUCAAUAAAAAGAUGAACAAUAUUUGGAA